rnacentral:rRNA from 1 species
GCGGCGCACAUAAGACAUGCAAGUCGAACGGACUUAACCAUUAGUUUACUAUUGGAGCGGUUAGUGGCGGACUGGUGAGUAACACGUAAGCAACCUGCCUAUCAGAGGGGAACAACAGUUAGAAAUGACUGCUAAUACCGCAUAUGCCUUAAUUACCACAUGGUAAUAGAGGGAAAGGAGUAAUCCGCUGAUAGAUGGGCUUGCGUCUGAUUAGAUAGUUGGUAAGGUAACGGCUUACCAAGUCGACGAUCAGUAGCCGGACUGAGAGGUUGAACGGCCACAUUGGGACUGAGAUACGGCCCAGACUCCUACGGGAGGCAGCAGUCGGGAAUAUUGCGCAAUGGAGGAAACUCUGACGCAGUGACGCCGCGUGCAGGAAGAAGGUUUUCGGAUUGUAAACUGCUUUAGACAGGGAAGAAACAAGACAGUACCUGUAGAAUAAGCUCCGGCUAACUACGUGCCAGCAGCCGCGGUAAUACGUAGGGAGCAAGCGUUAUCCGGAUUUAUUGGGUGUAAAGGGUGCGUAGACGGGAAUGCAAGUUGGUUGUGAAAUCCCUCGGCUCAACCGAGGAAUUGCAACCAAAACUAUAUUUCUUGAGUGCUGGAGAGGAAAGUGGAAUUCCUAGUGUAGCGGUGAAAUGCGUAGAUAUUAGGAGGAACACCAGUGGCGAAGGCGACUUUUUGGACAGUAACUGACGUUGAGGCACGAAAGUGUGGGGAGCAAACAGGAUUAGAUACCCUGGUAGUCCACACCGUAAACGAUGGAUACUAGGUGUAGGGGAUGAAUAAUCUUCUGUGCCGUCGCAAACGCAGUAAGUAUCCCACCUGGGGAGUACGGCCGCAAGGUUGAAACUCAAAGGAAUUGACGGGGGCCCGCACAAGUAGUGGAGUAUGUGGUUUAAUUCGACGCAACGCGAAGAACCUUACCAGGGCUUGACAUAUACAUGAAAAUCUAAGAGAUUAGAUCCCUCUUCGGAGCAUGUAUACAGGUAGUGCAUGGUUGUCGUCAGCUCGUGUCGUGAGAUGUUGGGUUAAGUCCCGCAACGAGCGCAACCCCUGUUCUUAGUUGCCAGCAUGUAAAGAUGGGAACUCUAAGAAGACUGCCGGUGAUAAAUCGGAGGAAGGUGGGGACGACGUCAAAUCAUCAUGCCCUUUAUGUCCUGGGCUACACACGUACUACAAUGGCUGUAACAAAGGGAAGCGAACCCGCGAGGGGAAGCAAAACCCAUAAAAGCAGUCUCAGUUCGGAUUGAAGGCUGAAAUUCGCCUUCAUGAAGCCGGAAUUGCUAGUAAUGGCAGGUCAGCAUACUGCCGUGAAUACGUUCCCGGGCCUUGUACACACCGCCCGUCACACCAUGAGAGUUGGGGAUACCCGAAGCCUGUGAGCUAACUGUAAAGAGGCAGCAGUCGAAGGUAGAAUCAAUGAUUG